GACAGCUGUAUCCCCUAACGAGAGGGCGGGAUCAGAGCUCCAAACUGCAAUGGGGCCGACCAAUCAGCUGCUUGGGGGAUUCAGGAAGCCAUUUUCUGAAAUACACACAUACAUUUACCUAAAAACCCACAACACAGAAACUGGGGAACGUAACAGGCAUUGAUGUACCUCUACAUAAAGUUUCCUUACACGGCGACAGUGGAUAUCCCCUCAAGUGGUGGCUGCUCACCCUUUUCGCCAACCCACAGAGCGCAGAGGAGAGGAACGUGCGCCAUUGCCAAGACAUGAGUUACCACACCCGGUCCCAGGGAUGGUGAACUCUGGAAAUUCCUUUGUUCUCUACUGAGUGAGGACCUGAGCCCUAGGACCAUGCCCCAGGACUACCUGACAUGAUGACUCCUUGCUGUCCCCAGUCCACCUGGCCAUGCUGCUGCUCCAGUUUCAACUGGCCUGGGCCCUAGGACCAUGUCCCAGGACUACCUGACAGGAGGACUCCUUGCUGUCCCCAGUCCACCUGGCCAUGCUCCUGCUCCAGUUUCAACUGUUCUGCCUUACUAUUAUUCAACCAUGCUGGGUCAUUUAUGAACAUUUGAACAUCUUGGCCACGUUCUGUUAUAAUCUCCACCCGGCACAGCCAAAAGAGGACUGGCCACCCCACAUAUGCUCUCUCUAAUUCUCUCUUUCUUUCUCUCUCUCUCGGAGGACCUGAGCCCUAGGACAGUGCCCCAGGACUACCUGACAUGAUGGCUCCUUGCUGUCCCCAUUCCACCUGACUGCUGCUGCUCCAGUUUCAACUGUUCUGCCUUAUUAUUAUUCGACCAUGCUGGUCAUUUAUGAACAUUUGAACAUCUUGGUCAUGUUCUGUUAUAAUCUCUACCCGGCACAGCCAGAAGAGGACUGGCCACCCCACAUAGCCCGGUUCCUCUCUAGGUUUCUUCCUAGGUUUUGGCCUUUCUAGGGAGUUUUUCCUAGCCACCGUGCUUUUACACCUGCAUUGUUUGCUGUUUGGGGUUUUAGGCUGGGUUUCUGUACAGCACUUUGAGAUAUCAGCUGAUGUACGAAGGGCUAUAUAAAUAAAUUUGAUUUGAUUUGAUUUGAUUUAAAAAGGUCAAAAAAACAAGAACAAACAUGUUGAAAUCAACUUGGCUAGAUAACUUCAAGUCUGGUUGUGCAUGUGGCAAAGGCAUGAGUACUGCCUGUUUGUUUACUCCAGUUGCUAGGCAACCCAACUCACCCGGUGAGUGGGAGUACAGCUACAAUCAGAAGGGACUUUUUCGUACCAGGUUAGGAUCAUUUAUACAGCAGGUUAGGUUAAUUACAGUGGCAGGUUAUGAGACUUAGGUUAGGAAAAGGAUUAAGCGUAAAUCAUAGUCCGUAGACACGGAGACAGAAUAGUCCACCAUCCCAUUGCCACCGUGAUAGGCCUAAGAAGACACAGUGGCAGAAUAAAUUCAACCACACCUUUGUCUCAUCACAAAACCGGAGAGCAACAUCUGUCCAGUGAAGUCCACAAAGCAUUUUGCCUGUAAGAAACAGUUACAUGACCUACAGCAUGGUUAAGCAAGUUAAUGUUUCCAACAUUUUCGGACUACUAAACAACUAUUGAUUUAGAAAACCGGAGAGUUACCACAAGUCGCAAAGAAAACAGGAGCUGCCUCCACUAUUCCAGCACCAUUUCAAAUUAAAAUUUCUAAAUAAUCAAAUCACAUAUUGCUUAGUGUAAUACAGUGACAACUAAAAGAUACAGGAAAAAAAUGUUGUCCAAUCAACAUAAGCGAAAUCUGAUGUGGCUUGUCCAUGGUUGUGAUUUGUGUGUGUGUGCAAGUAGAAAAAAAAACAUUUUGACGCACCCUACUUGUAGAGAAACGCCAAUGACUUUCAUGUUGCCAAAACGGUCUAUGACUCUGUCAUACAGUACAUGCUUUUAGUUUUUGUUGUCCUAGGCUACCUGGCUAAAAUACUUGCUCGCUAGCUUAACUUAUUUUCAUAGGCAACAAUGUGCCAGUCCAGCUAGUUAACAUUAGCCUACUACAUCUACAGUAGCUGCAUAUUGAACUUCCAUCCUCUCAGGCCAGGGGCACAAUGUAUGAAUUUAUGGUUGGAUCAGAAUAGUCGUUGUAAUCGUUGGCCAGUAUGGAGGAUUAAGUAAAACCACAAGUCCAAAUCCCUAUCUCCAUCCAUGGCUAAUUUAGGAAUGUGAUGAUUUUAGCUAGCUAGCUAGCCACCGAAGCACAACAAGAUGCAAAAAUUCUAAAUUUUUCUGUAAAUGCCGAUCUGUUUUUGAUGUGGUGUGAAGUUAAAUCCAAACUGGCUUCCUAUGACUUCUGUUCCACAAGGCAAACAAAAAGAAGGCACUGGCUGUCGUUGGCGAACCCUCCCACCCUCUACACCCUCAGUUCGAGAGGCUUUCUUCGGACCGGUGCUUCAGAACGCCCAUGGCCAAGAAGAAUGUGUUCAAACAUUAAUUUGUUCCUUAUGCUGUUGGACUACUAAAAAAGUAAAGUAAAUUAUAUUGGUAUCUGGAUUUAUCUAUCUAGUGCAGUUGGGACAGCGGUUGUUGUGAGUGAAUGUAUUAAUGUCCUCUGUUGUUGUGUAUGCAACAUGAUGCACUGACUGGUUUAAAUGUGUAUGAUGUGAGAAUGUAUGUGUAUGUGAUUGUUUUAAUGAAGUUGAUGCCAAAGAAAAAUGGCCAUCCUAGAUGGACAAUAAAGUUUUAUU